rnacentral:lncRNA from 1 species
GUCGUUCAGUCGUGUCCACUCUUUGCGACCCCAUGGCCUGUAGCCCACCAGACUCUUCUGUCUGUGGGAUUUCCCAGCAAGAAUACUGGAGCAGGUUGUCAUUCCCUUCUUCCGGGGAUCUUCCCGACCCAGGGAUCAGACCUGGGUCUCCUGCACUGCAGGUGGAUUCUUUACCGUCUGACUACCAGGGAAGCCUGUUAGAUUUAAGAGUUCAGCGCUAACUAGUGCUGUCAUCAGAGCUGGUUGGAAGGAAGAGCUGGGGCUGGGAGCCAGCCUCUAUGAAGCUGGAAGGCAAGCACCCAAGACAGCAAGUGAAGCCACCUGUAGGGAAUUUGGGGAAGAGAGAUGGGGCGGAAGCUGGGGAGCACACGGUGUGGAGAGGGGGGCUCUGUUUGCCUGGUUCUGCUUGGAGUCUGGCGUGAGAUUCACUUCACUUUCAAGACAAGUGCUGUUGGGGGACAGCCCAGCCUGCCUGCCAUCGCCCUGUGGAUAUUUCCGUGCUCAUGAUGGAGACUGCUGGUGUGUCCUCUCAGAGUCAUCCUGUUGCUCCGAAGGUGUGUCUGCAGGAAGGUCACCGGGGCUGCGAGAAGGCCUGGGUGGUAACCGACCCAGGGAGCGUCCACUUUCCAAGUCCAGCCCCGCCGCACCCUGGCGAGCUGGCUCCUGUCCUGCGUGCACUUCUACGCCCUGUGGACUCACCUCUUCUCUUGGCCAGGGGGCCAGCUCCAGGUCCCCGUCCCGUUGGUGAAAGUGUUUUGUGUGAUUCCCCCUGUUGCCUGGAGAACACUUUUCUCUUUUAUUAUUGUUUUGGUUUUAACCGGAGAGAAUGUGGUGAGAGGGAAGACUGCGGAGCUAAGGGAGAGCUUUGCUGUAGCCAGAGAAGAGCCGGGGGCAGGGCUUCCAGAAGGAGCCCCGAGAACGUGGUCCUGUCGCACUGCCAGCUCUCAGGAAAGGGCCAUGCCUUGGAGUGCCAUCCCUACAAGCAGCAUGCAGAGCCCGGCAAGGCACCAAGCAGCCCAGGGCGGCGGCCCAUUGAGAUAACCAGGCGGACAGACAAUCAGCGGGGCCGCCUUGAGUGUUCUCUGCUUACGACUCUGGGGCCUUUACGUUUGGAACAACUGAAAGGAACUGGGGAGAGAAGUGAGAGUGGAAAAAAAAGGGCAUCUUUUUUUUUUUUUUUUGAAUUGCAUCUUUUUUUUGCUGUGUUUUUAAAAUUUUUAUUUGAAUUUAAAUUUUAACUUGAUUUAUAAUAUUGUGUUAGUCUUCCACUUACAGAAGAGGGAUUCAGUAUUCCUGCAGAUCCCAUCCCAUUAUAGAUUAUUACAAAAUAUGGGUUAUAAUUCCCUGUGGUCUGCAGCAGAUCACUGUUGUAUCUCUGUUUUCUGUACCGUCAUUUCUGUCUGCUAAUCCCACACUCAUAAUUUGUCCCUCCCUUUGGUAUCCACAAGUUUGUUGUAUAUGUCUGUGAGUCUGCUUCUGUUUUGUAUAUACGUUCAUUUGUAAUAUUGUUUAAGCUCCACAUAUAAGUGAUAUCAUAGUAUUUGUCUUUCUCUGUCUGACGUAUCAGUAAGCGUAAUAUUCCCUAGGUACAGCCACAUUGCUGUAAAUGGCCAUUGUCAGGGUUGAGAAAUAUUCCAUUGUAUACGUAUGUGUAUAUGCCAUAUCUUCUUAAUCUAAUCGUCUGUUGGCGGAGACUAGGGGUGUUUCCAUGUCUUAGCUAUUGUAAGUAGUGCUGCUCUGAACAUUCAGAUGCAUGUAUCUUUUUGAGUUAGUAUUUUUGUUUAUUUCCAGAUAUACGCCCAGAAGUGGAAUUGCUGGAUCAUAUGACAAUUCUAUUUUUUAGGUUUUUUUUUUUAAUUGGAGUAUAUUAACAGUUUCUUUAUAAUGUUGUGUUUGACUGCAUUACUUUGAUUUAGUAAAAAUGACCUGAGUUUCCAGAGCAAAAUUCCUAUGGGCCACAUAUAAAUAAAAUGGAGACAGCCUAGCGUCCA